rnacentral:miRNA from 1 species
AUAUACACACACACACCUACA